AAAACCCAUGAACGAAUUAUAAAUUCACCUUUUUUCAUACUUCAUCACAAUGAAUCACGAAAAAGAAAACUAUCUAACACUCAAGUCUCCUCCUUAAAGGCUAUAUUGUGGUGUAUGUUAAAAGGAGAAAGCAUAGCACUGUUUGAUCAAUAUCUGUUAAUCAGAAUUCAAAAUGAAGAGGAGAAGGAUGAUGAUUUUCUAAAGUGAAUAGGUUUAUUCAACCAUUAGUAAGAAACUGAUUUACAAGAGAUAUAAAAAAGAUGUUCUAGCACAUCUUUCUACCAACUACCUGCUACAUCCUUACUUAAGGACACACAUUACAUCAUUACAUAAAGACAUGCUGGUGCAGGCUAUACAUCAAAAAAAAUGUAAAGGACUGCUCCCUAUAAUCAUUACAAAAUAUAUAGGGCUUGACAACAAAAUAAACAUAGCUUAGCCUUAAACUUGAUACUUAAGGACUCGACAAUUGUGACAACAAAAGUGGCAACCAACAUCAAUUCUCCUCCUUGACACUUCUGUUGGAAACAUCAAGACUCUUUCUAAGUGUUUCAAAUCUUCCCUUGGACAAGGACUUGGUUAGAAUGUCGGCAUAUUGGUCUUCACCUUUGCAAUGUAACAGCUUUACCUCACAAUUUUCUUGUGCUUCUCUAAUUACAUGGUACUUGAUUUUAAUGUGUUUCGAUCUUCCAUGGAACACUGGAUUUUUUACCAUAGCUACAGCUAUUGAUUAUCAUAAAAAAUUAUAGUUGCCUCAGUUUGUUUAGCAUCCAAAUCUUCCAGCAUUUUCCUUAGCCAAUGUGCUUGAUUUGGUGCUUCUACUACUGCUACAUACUCUGCUUCUGCUGUUGAUUGAGCAACAAUUUUUUGCUUCAUCGAGUUCCAGCAAACAAUGUUUGUUUCGAGAUAAAAUGCAUAUCCAGAUGUGCUAUUCAUAUCAUCAAGAGAUCGGGCCCAGUCACUGUCUGUGUAUCCAAUUAAAUUCCAGGAUUUUGGCCUCUUAAACCAGAUUCCCAAAUCAGCACUUCCUUUAAUAUAUCUCAAAUCUCUUUUGGCUGCCUGGAAAUGCAAUUCACUUGGUUCUUCCCUGAACCUCGAAAGCAAAUUAGUAGCAUAAGUGAGGUUAGGUCUUGUGAUUGUCAAAUACAAUAAACAACCAACCAAGCUCCUAUACAACUUCCCAUCAAUCUUAUUACUACCAUCAUCUUUCACCAGUUUCACAUUUUGAACCAAAGGAGUUUCUACUAGUUUACAGUUGUCCAUACUGAAUUUCUUUAAUAUCUCAAUGGCAUAUCUUCUUUGACACACAAAAAUGCCUUCUUGUGUCUGGUCGAUUUCCAUUCCAAGGAAGUACUUCAUCUUUCCUAAAUCAGUCAUUUCAAAUGACUUCAUCAUUUCAGCCUUAGUUCUAUCUAUCAGUUCCUUACUGAUGCUAGUUAUUAGAAGAUCAUCAACAUAUAAGGAAAUGAUGAUUGACUCUUCUUCAAUUUUCUUCAUGUACAAGGUCUGUUCAUUGACACUUCUCACAAACCCAAGGCCGCUCAUGUGUUCAUCAAUUCGGUUGUACCAAGCUCUUGGAGCUUGCUUCAACCCAUACAAUGCCUUCUUCAGCUGAUACACUUUGUCCUCUUCUCCAACUACUUGAAAGCCAUCAGGUUGAUCGACAUAAAUCUCCUCAUUUAACCAGCCAUUUAGGAAAGCUGAUUUAACAUCCAGUUGAUGAAUUUCCCAGCCUCUUUGAGCAGUUAUAGCUAGCAACAACCUUAUAGUUUCAUACCUUGCCACUGGUGCAAACGUAUCUAAGUAAUCAGUACCACAUUACUGUGCAUACCCUUUCACAAUAAGUCUGGCCUUAAGCUUGUUAAUAGAUCCAUCUGAGUUCAUCUUGGUCUUGAACACCCAUUUGACUCCAAUAACAUUUUUGUUCAUUGGCCUAUCUACCAGCUUCCAAGUUCCAUUCUUUUCAAUCAUCUUAAAUUCCUCCUCCGUUGCUGCCAACCAGUCAGAUGAAUUUACAGCUUCAGCAGCAGUUGUUGGCUCUAAUAUUGCUGAAUUGCACUUUGCAUAAACAUCAGCCAAUGACCUGGUUUUUAGUACUGGAUUCUCAGUAUCUGAUCCACUAUCAGCUUCCAAAGGAUCAUCUUUCAAUACUUCAGGUUGGUUUUCAUCAGGAUCCUCUUCUUCAUUGAUUACAACCUCAUCUCUUUGUGGAACUAUUCUUUGAUCAUGUGAUAGAAUUAAUGUGUUGGACUCCCAAUUCCAUGAGGAUUCUUCAUCUAUCUUGAUAUCCCUGCUGGAUAUUAUCUUCUCGAUUUGAGGAUUGAAAACCUUAUAUCCUUUAGCAUUGCUGCAAUACCCAAUCAAGAUGCUAGAUUCAGCCUUUUGACUUACCUUAUCUCUUUUAGGGUCUGGAAUGUGUGUGUAACAGAUAUUACCAAACACCCUUAGAUGAGCAACAUUAGGCUUGAUUCCAUACCAAGCCUCAUAUGGUGUUUUCAUAUUCAAAGCUUUUGUGGGGAGUCUAUUAAGAAGAUAUGAGGCAGUACUCACAGCUUCUACCCAGAACUCUUUUAGAACUGAUUUCUCAAUCAUCAAACACCUUGCCAUCUCCAUCAAGGUCCUAUUCUUUCUUUCACACACUCCAUUUUGCUACGGUGUGUAUGGAAUGAUCAACUGAUGUUUAAUUCCAGCUGCCUCACAGAAUUUAUCAAACUAAUUACACUUGUAUUCAGUUCCAUUGUCUGUUCUGAUGGUCUUAAUUCUGGAAUUGCACUCAUUUUUGACCAAUGUUUUGAACUUCUGAAACACCCCUGCAACUUUAGACUUCAACCUCAGGAUGUACACCCAACUCAUCCUUGUUAGAUCAUCAAUGAAGAGUACAAAAUAUCUGCUGCCAUUCAUGAGUUCUAAUUGGACCACAUACAUCUGAGUGGAUUAACUCAAGUUUUGUUAUAGCUCUUCUUGCCUGACCUUUUGGAAAUGGAAGUCUGGUUUGUUUCCCACGUUGACAUACCUCACACACACAGGUAUCAACACAUACAUCAGGGAUAUUUUCAGCAGGCUUAUGCAGGUGCUUAAGUGAUGUACAGUUUAUGUGUCCAAACCUCCUAUGCCAAAGUGUGGACUCAUCAACUGAGCUUGUGAAUGCAUGCGAAGUUACCUUUUUCCACUCUAAAGGAAAACUUCUUUGUUUCAUCUCCACAGACAUCAGUUCAUUAUUACUUGGAUCUAAUAUAGUGCAACCAUUGCCUUUGAAAAUCAGUAUGAAUUUCUUCUCAAUCAACUGGCCUACACUAAUUAGAUUUUGAUCUAUAUUAGGCACAUAAAGGACAUCAAAAAUAAGCUUGGUACUUGUUGGAGUUUAUACAGAAACUACUCC
rnacentral:lncRNA from 1 species